UUUUCAGUUAAUAUAGGGAGAGAUGACUGAUUCAGCUUAACGAAUAAAGGGAAAGCUUUUGCAUCUUCCAAAGAUCGUGUAGAUGCCAAAAAUGUCUGCACCACCGUUUGCUAAAUGUUUCAAAAAGUCACCUUGCAUCCAACUGUA